CAGUGUUUGCUGUGUCACCCAGCGGCUAGGAAACAUUGUGAUCUUCCCUCCCUUAAUCUUGAUUUAGUUAAUUCAGUGGCUGGCCUUCCUUAGCGUCGCACGUCAGGGGUAUUAAUUCUGUUUCUUCAUUGCAGAUUAAUGAAUAGUCCAGCUAAGAAUCCGACAAUUAAUUGCGCUCUCAUCAUCUUGCCAUUAGUUUAUUUCCUUUUAGUUUUUACCUUCCCUGUUGGCCUGUUCCAUAACGUUUCAGAAACCCUAGGAUGCCGUUGCAUUCCCUCUUCAAUAAUAGAUGGUAUUCCCAAUCCAAUUGAAUUUUUUGCGACUUUACAAAUGCAAAACGCACAUCCCAACAUUAAUUGGAUUCUCUCUAUAAAAUGUCUAAUCCCAAUCGAGAACAGCAUCCGUUCCACUUGAACAUGUUCCUGCUUAGCUUUGAGGUUGAAUAUAAUACUAGGCGCCGCAAUCAAUGUUUCUCUUGAUAGUGUGGUCCGUAAAUUGGUCCGGCUCUCAGCAUCUAAAGUCAUCAGUAGGUAAUAGGUCGUUUUUGUUGAGAGGUGCAUACAAUGACAUGAUACUCGAUGGUGUACAACCAUCAAGAGAUUCAUUACACUGAAAAGGGCGAGCUUGGUUGCAAGAUGCUUUUAUUUUAGAGAUCAGAAGGAAGCAAUCGGCUUAGUACCAGAAGGUUCUAUACUAAAGUCCUCUUAAGCUGUUGACAGGGCCGGAGUACGAACUCAGUUCCACAAAUGCGAUACCUCUCAGCGUCAUAAGUAUAAGACGGAAUGUGAAUACCGGCAGUAGAGCUACAUGAGUAUGAGAAAAAAUGUAAGAAAAUUUAUAAAUUUUAGGCUUCAAUAUGACCCAUCUUGGAGGAGGCUUCUCAUAUUGACCCGUAAAGAGACCCCUGAAAAAAAUGAUUAAGAUUGGAAGUGGGCUUAAGAUAGAAGACUUGAGUAUUGGUGUUAAUCACAAUGAAAUUUGGGAUGGGUGUUCA